rnacentral:misc_RNA from 1 species
UUUCCGUAGGUGAACCUGCGGAAGGAUCAUUCAUAAUAAGUGUUCUAUGGAACUUUUUUAAAUCCAUCUCCACCUUGUGUGCAAUGUCAGGGUUGGCGCCUUUUGAUCAGCCCCAUACAUCAACUAUUACCUCAACUCUUGGUCUGAAAAAUAUUAUGAAUAAAUCAAUUCAAAAUACAACUUUCAACAACGGAUCUCUUGGCUCUU